AGAGGACAGUUCUAAAACAAGUUUUAUGAUAAAGCUAUUUAAUACAUUUAAUUGUAGAACAUAAUGAUUCUAAUUCCCAUGUAAAACUGGAAAAGGUGGAAAAUGUCAGCUUUUUUUGUUUGUUUUUGAAGCAGUUAAUGUAUUCAGUUUUCCACACUCUUUUGUUACAGUUUUCUGUGUUAAUUACUGGCUGGAAGCGUGUUCAAGAUACUGUAAAAUAUUUGAAAAUUGUUACGUUGCGUCCUGCCAUAAUAAUACUGACAGUGGAUUACUUACUGCUAAUUAAUUUCUGUCAUUUAGCAUUCAAGUUCUUGCCGUUAAUACAUGGCAGUUUGAAACACUGAACUAUCAUAGAACACCACGUAUCACCAAUUAAAUUGCAUGUCUUUAUUCCUUUUGUCUGCAUUUGGUGCAUAUAAGCAGCCCUGGCUCUACCUAAACAUGGUGCUUACUGAUUAAGUGAAAAUCAGUUGUGACUAAAACAGAUAGUGAAUGGUUUUUCAGCAAAUCAAAGACAAUUUUCCACUUUUCUUCUGGUCCUUGUCCUACACAUAGUGAUUAUUUUUCUGCCACCAUCUCACAUGAUUAACCUAGAUAUUUAGUCUUGUACCUUGUCUUUCAUCUUAGGACAGGGAUUGUACUGUGGCUGGAAUGGAAAGUUGGGUACAUAAGCUUCAAGAAUUGUAGUUUAUGUACUUCCAGUUUUGUAAUUGUGAGACUGAGGGGCUAUAGCUGUGUGUAUAGAGCUUGGGCACAAUGGUUCUUUUCCUGACCCUCACCUCAGUACACCAAUAUUUCUGCUCUAGAAAUGGAUUUGUCUGACAGAUGUGGCACAACAACUAUUAGCAAGCCAAGAAAAGGACUCAGGAAGUUCACGUUCCAUUUACGUGUGUCCUAGUGACCUUUUGGCCAGUAUUGAGCCAGCUAUGAUUCUUAAGCUCACUUUAACAGCUGGCAGGCAGCGUUGCAAGCGUGCACCUUUGGCACUUGCCUUAUUUAAACUGCUGUUGCUAUAGAUGUAUCACCAUCUGUUCUUUCCAUCAGUUGCAGCUGUAUUAGCUAAUAUCUUUUCAGCGAAUCUCUCUGGCAGCAGAGUACUGUGCCCCCCUAAAACUCUUUCCUUUGGAAGGCCCUCCAGAGCAACUUGAGAGACUUCUGCCAGAAGGAAAAAAUAAGUUGCUGGGGUGAGAAAAGGCACCCAUGGACUCUGGCACUGGCUUCCCAUUGCCUGCAGCAAUGGUUUGAGGCAGCCCUGGCGAGAUGCCUUAUGGUGGCUUCCUCCUCCUGCUGCCAUGGCUCUGCUUCUCCCCAUUUGCCAUUGUUUCAGUGUAACUGCCCUUUCCUGCUCUGCUUGUCUACCCAAUUGCUUGCUUGGUGAAUGGAGCAGCUGACCACACUUUUCUUUAGGAAAAUGGUAGUAGCCGUCUGGGUGCUCCGCUACCAAAUGUAAAAUGGCACUGGCAGGAAGUCAGAAAACAACUCUCUUAUGUGAUCACAUAAUGCAUAAGUUCCUUUCCCACUUCCUGUCAGUGCCAUUUGCGAAACAGAUGAGAAGUAGUCAGUUGCUCAGGCUGCAAUAUCAGUAAAACUGAAGCUGUGCAGCUGGGUUUUAAAUUGCAUUCCUUGAAACUUCAUCACUUCCAAGCAGUGGUUCUCCUGAGAUAUUUAACAAAAGCAUAGCAAGACCAAAGGCCCAUCUGGUCUAGCAUCCUGUUGCUACAGUGAUGGACCAGAUGCCUAUGGAAACCUGCAAGCAGGAUAAGAGCCCCAUAGCCCUCUUCCCAUUUGUGUCUUCCUUUAUUUUACUCAAUACAGUAUACACACACAAAAUAAACAAAUAUCACAUUAUUCUCUGAACUGUCCUGAGACCUCCGGGUAUAGGGAGGUAUAUAAAUUCAAUAAAUAAAAAUAAAUAAUAAAUAACAUAAUUUUACAUAACCUUAGAGCAUUAAUGGUCAGUAUAGGCUCUCUACAGACAUGUUUGUGAGUUUAGUGGGAGAGAUUUGCUAUCAACUUCCCUUAUGUAAGAAAAGAAGGGGGACCAGGUUUCAUCAUUAUGACACCUUUUGCUAUCCUUCUAAGCCCAGUUAAUUGCUCUGAAAUAGCCACGUUCCAGAUAUUUUUUAAUCAAACUUCAAGGGGUAGCUCAGCCUGGGAUUUCCAAAAAUACGCUAUCACCAAAUGUGCGGCCGUCAGUAAAAAGAAAAUUAGAUCUUUAUGUUGAAUAGUAGGAUCAGACUCUAGAUUUCAUGAGAGCAGGGUUAAAGCUAGAUUUGGUGAGAGAGGUGUAUCAAUUUUAGAAAUGAUACCGAAGACCUUUGUCCAAAAUGCGUGGACAAAUUUACAUUCCCACCAAGCAUGAAAAUAUGUUCCCCUAUUCCCACAUCCCCUUCCACAAAGAGGGGAUAAGGAUUUGUUGAUUUUUGCUAAGCGAACCCGAGUCCAAUGCCACCUGAGGACGACCUUCAAAGAAGCUUCUUGAAGGUGAGAUGAAAUGGUUCUUAAAGGUGGGGUCCUCCAUAUGCCUUCCGACUCAUUAUCAUUGAUUUCUUUGCCUAUUUCAGUCUCUCAUACUACGUGCAAACCUUUCUCAUUCCCAAUGUAAUAUUCCAUGAGCACACCAUAAAUCAAUGAAACCACACCUUUCAUAUCACAGUGGGAUUCAAUACACCUUGUUUCAAAUGUCAUAAGAGAACGAACAACUGCAAAUAAACAACAUUGGAGAAUCUGGAGCCAGUUGGGGUGCAGAUCGUUUAGAUUUUCCUUUAACCUUUCUUUACCUAUUGCUUUGCCUUUAUAGAGUGAGUAUAAGCCUCUGUUUUUCCAUUCUUUGUAUGCCAAUAUUUAUCUUAUUGAUAAAUGGCAAAUAAAUUUAUCUGCCUUGAUAAAAGGCAGGAUGGUCUAGAAAGGGAGUUACCGUAAUGGUAACGUUCCAGAGGUCAACAUUUUCCUUUGAUUUUUCCAUGUCAAGAUUGCAGUUUUUUAAAAGGGAUUCAAUUCCCUUUAUCACCGAAUCUAAUAAUUUUAAGAAGGGAAGUGCUCAGAAUGCUGGCAUGGCGGAGGCAAUUUCAAUAUGGACCCAGGGAUCUUCUGUUUGGUCCCAAUCAGUGGGAUUAAUGAUUUCAUUUGAAAUGCCACUUUAUCUACAACAUGCUGUUACAUGUGUAGAGUUUAUGUGUUCUUCACACAUGACCCUAAAACAUGCUUUGAGAGACGGGGACUUUUAUAAUAAUUUAAGAAUAAUUUAUUAUUUAUACCCCGCCCAUCUGGCUGAGUUUCCCCAGCCACUCUGGGCGGCUCCAGAUCGAGUGUUAAAAGCAGUACAGCAUUAAAUAUUAAAAACUUCCCUAAACAGGGCUGCCUUCAGAUGUCUUUUAAAAAUAGGAUAUCUGCUUAUUUCCUUGACAUCUGAUGGGAGGGCGUUCCACAGGGCGGGCGCCACUACUGAGAAGGCCCUCUGCCUGGUUCUCUGUAACCUUUUGCAGGAGUCGCAACUGAGUGCCGUUCAAAAGAUCUGUUUGAACAAUUUAUUCAUACCACACCAAAGGUUUCUUUGGAUGCUAAAGAGAAGCAUCCAUUUAUUAUAUAAGCAACAAAAGAAAUAACGGUGCAGCAUAAAUAUAAAAUCACAGGUGUUUUUGAACCAAUGUCUUAACACAUCCAUACUCUAAAGAAAUAAGCGGCCCUAAUCUACAAUAGAAAUAAAGCAGUGGACCAAUUGCCCGACUCAGUAAAAGGCAGCUCCCUGUGUUACUUGUUCUUCUAUAUGCUUGGGUUAUUAUCUGUUUGAUAAUGCUUUCCACUAUUUUACCAGGAACAGCCUGUCAUUUCCUGGAUCUUCCCUGGAUCCCUUUUUAAAAAAAUGGUUCUAUAUUUGCCACUUUCCAAUCCUCAGGUAUGGAAGCUGAUCUUAGGGACGUGUUACUUUAAGAACUCUGAGGAUUUGUUCAUUUUUAAUUUAUCGGUAAGGUGAGAACUGCUUACCACUGUUUGCUUCAGUUCAGGCACAAGAAUCUGGCCUACGUUUUCUGCAGUGAAAACAGAUGCAAAGAAUUCAACCAGUUUCUGAUUUUAGAAGUCUGGAACUGAAAGUGAAAAUAAAUAGCUGUGACUAUGGACUGGCCAGUACAGUUAAGCACACUUUAAGCCCAUUGAAAUCAGUCAGCUUAAGCAGGCUUAACUCUGUGCUGGACUGUAGCCGGUGAGACUUGCAUCCCAUGAUAUGACUUGUAUGAUAAGGCUGCAUUGUUUCGUUGCCUAGCUAUAUUAACAGCAAGGAUACUACUGCUUAGUGCUAACAAAUAAAAUGUAUAAAAUAGAUAUUUGGAGAGUUAAUUAAAUUAUAUGGGUAUUAAUGGUAAGACAACAAAAAUGGAUUUUGUGAAUUCUUGCAGUAAUAAAGAAGAGCCUUGGAGGAUAAAUACCCACCAUUUAUUACGCAGUGGCGGGAAGACCUUCACAUCCUUGCUACCUAUUUGGAUGGCUUAUAUUGAGCUAUAUGUGUAAACUAAGAUGGGUGUAUUGAAAGUUAUUGUAUUGUUUUCCUUUUAUUUCCUUUUAAUAAAUUUUCAACAAAAAAGCAAAAGAAAUUACUUUCUUGUGUUUUAAAUAGUAUCCCAUAUGACCUAUUUUGAUUUCUAAGAUUGUGUGUAAGCAUUUUUUUAUACUGUAUAUAUGAAUCACUGAGAGUAAGUGGAGGUGUGUAGACUUGACCCAACCAUGGAUGGGUAAAAAAAGAAAGAGGUAAUGUGAUUUAUUUAUUGUUUUAUUUUCUUACAUUUAUUUCUGACCUUUCUUCCAUCAUGCAACCCAAGAUAAAGUGUGUGUGGUUUUGAGGUAGUCUCCCAACCAGGCACUGCCUAAACUCAGUCCUGUGUGGCUUCAGCAAGGUGCCAUACCAUACCCUGAGAACAUCAUGAUUCUUGUCUGUUAUAUAACAUCUCUAUUAUCAUUACCCAAAAUGUUAGAUAGAUGGAUACGGAUUGAUACAUUGUGGAUUUAUAAUUUGUUGAGAUAAUCAGUAGGUAACUGAAAAUAAAUUCAGUAAUUUGUCACCAGUUCCAUUUUUGGAGGGUAAAUUCUGACUCAGAUGCCUUUUGCCUGCUAACUAGCACUCUCCUUGUGCGCCAAUCCAGCCAGGUGCUUCAUGCUUGUGGAAGCAGACUUCUGUGUUGUGCAUCCCUUGUAAGAUAGAGUUGUCAGCAGCUGGACUGAGGAGGAAUGGUGGGGAUCGCCCCCUCCCCGAACCUUCCCAAGAACAGGAGGACAGUAUAGAUUUAUAACAGUGUUUUGCAGAAGGUCAUAGUUCUGAGACUGCAGAGGGGAGAAGCUGGGAAAUAAUGGGAGAGGAACAGCAGGAAGAGGAUGCACCAGGGGAGAGACAGCUGACAGACUCAGUGUCUUUAGAAAUAUUCCUGCCCCCCUCCCCCGGGACCAGGCAGGCAUUGAGAGUAGUAGAACAGAAAGCUCAGAGGCAGAAAACUCAGAUCAGCCGACGCAGGGAUGACGCAGAAUAGAAGAGAUUGAGGGGGUGUGACUUUACUUGGAGUAACACCAUUAUCUAAGAGAAACUGCUUUUCUUCGUCUCUCUGUGAAUAGUGAAUAAAAUAUUUGGUAAGAACUCUUCUUGCUUAUCUGCUUCUUGGCUGCCACCGUGGGAGGGAUUUGAUUUCCUGAAGCCUGAUAAGAAUUUUGCUUGUGGCAGAGGAAUUCAAACCCCAGCCAGGCAGGGGUGGGAGAUGAUGCAGUGGCAUAACCACCACAGCAUCCACAGCUGCACUGCUCAUGUUGACCCGGGUGGAAGGCAGGGUAGGCAAAAGCCUGCUCUGGACAACACCAGUCUGGAGUUGGCAUAGUCACUGGGCCUGGUGCUGUUGGGUGAGGGCAGUGGGGCUGGUUGGGGAUCCAGGAAAGCCCAUACCAGUUCAGCCCCAUCCCUGGAGCUUUCCAUGGGCUACUGCCAGUGGGAAGCCUGCCAGACAUCAGAGCAGCGGCUGGAAUGUGGAGCAGGGAGCAGUGCAGUAAUCCUGGGCUAGGUGGAGGGAGACCUCCACUCCAUCCGCAUGCAUUCUAACCCAGCAGAUCAUGGUUUUGGAUUGCAUUUGCAGCCCGCCCAGUCUAACAGCAGAGCAAUGUAUGUAGCCCUUUCAAAUAACCACAAUUCUACUGAUCAGGUCAAUGGGUUGUUGAAAGUUCCCUCUUUCUUUUUUUUAAAAAAAAGAUAUUUAUUGAAAUUUUCAAAAUGUUACAAAAAAUAAAAAAAAUAGAAACCGAAGAAAGUACAAACAAUAAAAAUAGUUGACAAAGUAGGAAAGGAAAAGAAAAGAACAAAAAACAAACCCUUCCCACCAUAUGAGAGAAAAUUC